rnacentral:misc_RNA from 1 species
GCUUCGAAAAGCAUGAAAUCUAUUGUAGCAACAUGAAUUCAGUUCUUGCAUGUUAUGCUCUUACGAGGAAAGGCAACCUGCUAGCAACAGCAAGCACCAAGGGUACACUAAUCCGGAUUUUCAACACGCUAGAAGGUACAUUGUUGCAGGAGGUAAGGAAUUUGCGUCGUCAUUGUUUUAGUUCGAUCAUGUUUUGCAUACUCUUUUGUUACAUAACGUGAAGUAAUCGCAGCAUCUCUG